GGGGUAUCGGUUCCAAUCUCCAGAGGAAAUGAUGACUAAGAAGUAUCAGCAGUCUCUGGGAGGGGCUGGAGACUAGAGGUCAGUCACUCGGGCAGUGAUCCAGGAGAAACUCUGAAGACCAAAGACUCAGUGCUGAGAUGACCAUAUUGCUACUUACAUUUCUGUGCAAUGGCAUGACUGUUUCUGUGAGAUAAAUUUCUAGAAAUUGGAAACCUGAAUCAGAGGCUUCACAUUUUGUAUCCGUCAUUUCCUCCAUCUGGAAGUUGUUUUGGUGUCAUGAAGAUACUGGGAUCCUGCUUCAGUCAGUGGUUCCUACCUGUUCACUCAAUCAUCCACCUUUCCCCUCGGAGUAAAAC